AUUAAUGGCCAUACCACCCUGAACACGCCCGAUCUCAUUUGAUCUUGGAAGCUAAGCAGGGUCGGGCUGGGAUAGUACUGGCCGGGUGUGGUGGCUCAUGCCUAUAAUC
rnacentral:rRNA from 1 species